UACGUAGGUGGCAAGCGUUGUCCGGAUUUACUGGGCGUAAAGAGCGCGCAGGCGGUCGUUCAAGUCGCGUGUGAAAGCCCCCGGCUCAACUGGGGAGGGUCACGCGAUACUGAUCGACUCGAAGGCAGGAGAGGGAAGUGGAAUUCCCGGUGUAGUGGUGAAAUGCGUAGAUAUCGGGAGGAACACCAGUGGCGAAGGCGGUUGCCUGGGGCUUUGCUGACGCUGAGGCGCGAAAGCGUGGGGAGCGAUCCGG
rnacentral:rRNA from 1 species